rnacentral:snoRNA from 1 species
AGCUCAUAGAGCGUGGCAUCCGUGAUAGUUAGUGGGCGGAGGAAACUAUCAAUUGUUCGGCAGUAAUGCUCGUCGUCGUCUGAAGACGAGAGAACCGACAUGGCCGUACAAAUCAUAAAAGAGUCUCAGUCAGUUAUUUAAGGGCUGAAAAGAAGAAGACCUGAUAGAUAUAUUUCAGUAAAUCUGCAUCCAUCGAAGAAACGAAGAAUCGUCUUCGUUGGCCAUAAAUAACAGAACGAACCGGUUGGUGAACCCAGGGUCUCACGCCCAAUACAACUCCAUCACCCCCUAACCAGCGCAUCUCCG